AUACGUAGGUGGCAAGCGUUGUCCGGAAUUAUUGGGCGUAAAGCGCGCGCAGGCGGCCUUUUAAGUCCAUCUUAAAAGCGUGGGGCUCAACCCCAUGAGGGGAUGGAAACUGGGAGGCUGGAGUAUCGGAGAGGAAAGCGGAAUUCCUAGUGUAGCGGUGAAAUGCGUAGAGAUUAGGAAGAACACCAGUGGCGAAGGCGGCUUUCUGGACGACAACUGACGCUGAGGCGCGAAAGCGUGGGGAGCAAACAGGAUUAGAUACCCUGGUAGUCCACGCCGUAAACGAUGGAUACUAGGUGUAGGAGGUAUCGACCCCUUCUGUGCCGGAGCUAACACAAUAAGUAUCCCGCCUGGGAAGUACGGCCGCAAGGCUAAA
rnacentral:rRNA from 1 species